CCAGCCCGCUCAGAAACUCAAAGGAAUUGACGGGGCCCGCACAAGCGGAGAGCAUGUGGUUAAUUCGAUGAUACGCGAGGAACCUUACCUGGGCUCGAACGUAAGAUGACUGUAGGUGAAAGCUUACAUCUCUUCGGAGCAUUUUACGAGGUGCUGCAUGGUUGUCGUCAGCUCGUGCCGUGAGGUGUCGGGUUAAGUCCCAUAACGAGCGCAACCCUACCUUUAGUUGCCAUCAGGUAAUGCUGGGGACUCUAAAGGAACUGCCUACGCAAGUAGUGAGGAAGGCGGGGAUGACGUCAAAUCAGCACGGCCCUUACGUCCAGGGCUACACACGUGCUACAAUGGCCGAUACAGAGGGCAGCUACCUGGUGACAGGAUGCAAAUCUCCAAAGUCGGUCUCAGUUCGGAUCGGAGUCUGCAACCCGACUCCGUGAAGUUGGAUUCGCUAGUAAUCGCGCAUCAGCCAUGGCGCGGUGAAUACGUUCCCGGGCCUU
rnacentral:rRNA from 1 species